GGUCAUUAGAUGNAAGUAAAAGUCGUANCCAGGNUUCAGUAGGUGAACCUGCGAAGGAUCAUUA
rnacentral:rRNA from 1 species